rnacentral:tRNA from 1 species
GAGAUUAAUAGGUUUAAUAAGAGUUUGCUAAUCUUUUUAUUUUGCGGUUCAAUUCCGUUGUAUUCUCG